ACCAUCCCGCUAGCAGCCCUUCCAGGGCCUGGAAAACGUCCGAGAUUGUUCCGAAAACUUUCGGGCGAAGAAAUGAAGUUUAUUAAAGUAAAGCUUGCUGCGCUCACGUGUUAUGUUACACAACUCAUUAGGAGACAUGUCUCGCAAAGAGGCACACAGUAUAUAUAUCUGCCAUGCUGAGCUGGCCCCGUACAAUUCAUCCAAGAAUGCAUCCAGGUGAAGUCGCCCAGAUUGCUCCUAAAAGAACACCAUCAAUACAAAUCCUGCGUUUACCGCGCUCGUCUUGCUCUCAGGAGCUUCAAUCGAUAACCAGCAGCUAAAAAAGGACCUCUAUUCUAUUACUUUUGAGGGCAGCUUCAGCCGAUACGCGAAACAUUGUUACUGAUCUGUCGAGAUGACAAUUGUAGCUGGAAUGAAAUAAAUGACUUCUGGCGUAUAAGUCCAGCGUAACGCCCUCACGUUCCGGAACUUCCCUCCCCCGCUGCUCCUGCACUGUGGCCGUAAGGACAGGCUAGCUUAACAGACACUAUAGCGUAUAAAUUUAUUUCUCUAUAUUAUUAAGGUUACGGUGUUUCAAGCUGCGAACACAAUUCCCAGACAAGUCAACUCUUUCUCUGAAGUGUUUUACCGGUAAACCUAUCCCCAUCGAGGGCUUAUUCUUUUUUAUUGUGGCUACCAUUACAUCAUGCAUGGGUGGCAGAUGCAUCACAAGGACCUAUUCCGCUCAUGUUAGCGGUCCGCCAUCCACGACCAAGACCUCACCGCAAACAAGGUGAGGUUUGCAACUUCCAGGCUCGUACGCCACGCACCCUCACCGCCGCAGUUGCUCGCGGAUCCGCAGGGUGCGCUGUGGUCCCCCAACAAUAACCAACGUCUUGUUCAGCAAAGGUGAAGGAUGCGAGGCCGUACCUUCGGGACAAGACAGCCCCAGCUGUUAAAACCACUGGGUCAAACAUGAUUAAAUUAGAUUUCGAGGCGGACGAAGGGUGUGGUGGAUCCGGAGGCCCCGCAGCAAGGGGCACUUUAGACUGUCAGCAUGCUCCUUAUGUCCACAGCACUCCGCGCAAGGUAGUUUUGACAUGACGAGUCGUAAACGUAAACCCCUUGCCGGCUGUGAAAUGCAUAGGAUGCGCACAACACAACGAGGCUUGGCGGGGUUAACCGAGGACGUCUGCAGUGCUAGCGUGACGCAGAAGCCGACUCGCGGAAUUUGCUCAGCAUGAUUAAUAUGUUACAGCACAACCCUGCCAUGCUAGCUUGGGUCAACAUGCACAAAAAGGCUGCCUCCAGCUCACAUGUUUCGGCAUAUUUCUUGGUUUAAGGUCCAUCCAUGUCUCACUGUUAAAAUCCAACACACGCACAGAAAAGUCAGGAUUUCAAAUCAUGCACAAAUCCUCCCUACCCCAGCAGUGUCGCAGUUAUGUUGCUCGUAAGUUAUCAAUUUUAUAACCCCGGUGAGCACC
rnacentral:lncRNA from 1 species